GAGCACCUUUCGUUCUCCUUCGGCGGGGCAACCCGCCGCUGGACCCUCAUCAAACCUUUUUUUGCAUCUAGCAUUACCUGUUCUGAUAAAAAACAAUCGUAACAACUUUCAACAAUGGAUCUCUUGGCUCUGGCAUCGAUGAAGAACGCAGCGAAAUGCGAUAAGUAGUGUGAAUUGCAGAAUUCAGUGAAUCAUCGAAUCUUUGAACGCACAUUGCGCCCCUUGGUAUUCCAUGGGGCAUGCCUGUUCGAGCGUCAUCUACACCCUCAAGCUCUGCUUGGUGUUGGGCGUCUGUCCCGCCUCUGCGCGCGGACUCGCCCCAAAGGCAUUGGCAGCGGUCCACGGCCCCUCUCGCGCAGCACAUUGCGCUUCUCGAGGCGGCCCGGCCCGCAUCCACGAAGCCCACAUUACCGUCUUUGACCUCGGAUCAGGUAGGGAUACCCGCUGAACUUAAGCAU
rnacentral:rRNA from 2 species